GGACAGACGUAAUCACUUUAACUGGAUGUGCUUGCCCCUGACAGGAAUAUGCUAAGGUUGGCAAGUAAAAGACUAUGUUUUCAUCACCUUUUUCGCCACCGGCGAAGUCAAACUAGAACACCUCAGAAAACGAUGUCUGUACCAGGGACCAGGUGUCUGUCAACUCAGCAACUGUGGACCCGUCUCGCAGACACAACGGUGGUACCGUCUAGCGACCUGCUCUCCCUAGAGGUGUUUGAUACCAGACUGGUCAGAGGUGAGCGAAGGCGGGAUAUACACACCACAGGUCUGACAAAGGCGGAGGCUGUGCACACCAGUGAUUUAAGUGAGGCGCAGUAUGAGAAACUGGCUGACGAGACGUUGGACGCGCUAGCAGACUACUUUGAGGAUCUGGGUGACAAACCGCUCACAGGCUCGGAGUUCGACGUUGUGUUCUCUAGUGGCGUUCUGACUGUGAUGCUUGGAGGGGAGCAUGGGACCUACGUCAUCAACAAGCAAACCCCCAACAAACAGAUCUGGCUCUCCUCCCCUUCCAGUGGGCCGAAGCGUUAUGACUGGACAGGUGAGCGGUGGAUAUACUCUCACGACUCCGUGAGUCUUCACCAGCUGCUGGCGGAGGAGUUCUCCCUCAUCUACCACCUGGAAGUGGACCUGUCUCACCUACCCCACUCCUGACCCCAUCUACCUGUCUCACCUACCCCACUCCUGACCCCAUCUACCUGUCUCACCUACCCCACUCCUGACCCCAUCUACCUGUCUCACCUACCCCACUCCUGACCCCAUCUACCUGUCUCACCUACCCCACUCCUGACCCCAUCUACCUGUCUCACCUACCCCACUCCUGACCCCAUCUACCUGUCUCACCUACCCCACUCCUGACCCCAUCUACCUGUCUCACCUACCCCACUCCUGACCCCAUCUACCUGUCUCCUCUCUGGACCCCAGACCCUCCCAGCUCUGUCUAUACUCAUCAUCUACACAUGUUACUCACCUUUGACCUGGAAACCAAACGGGCAAGUCUGAAAGCCAACACAACACAAGUGUGGGUUCACUUUUACCUGCUGUAACCUUGCUCUCUUGGGUUCACCUUUAUCUGAGUAAUCUGCUGAAAGCUUGCUCUCUGACUGUUGUCUGUUCAGUACCACAGAAAUCUGCUGAGAUUGUAACUAGAGAACCAUAUAAUAUAUCUAACUGAUCUAAAACUUUCAUGUAUUAAUGUAUCUGACUGUGAUCUAAUCUGAUAUCUGCCAUCGAUACGAGCGCUCCACAUAUCUGUCGUUCUCUGAUCGAAGACAACGCUGAUCGUCCUGUUAAGCGUCCUGUCGGUUCCGAUACACCAGAUGUUCUAACAGCAGUUGGACACAGCCUCAACGUUGUGAACAACACACGCUGCUCUGACAUUCCCAUGGAAACAUGACAUGCAUGAUUACUUCCACCACGUUAAUCUCACGGUAAAACAUGUCAGUGUCGUUAUGGGCUCGUUAAGCUCUGGGGAACAUCUCGUCUUAAGCGUGGAGGCCAGGCUGGAGAACCUGCUUCAGAGGAACAUCUCGUGUCCAGUGUGGAGGCGAUCAGCUUGGAGGACAGAUAAAGGAAGCUCUCUGACUCUCCUAUCACUAGAUCCCAUUCACAGCUGAUGAUGGCGUUCAGACAGAUAGCCUUGGGAGGAGAGGCUGUCAGGAGUCACCAAUAUUAUUUCCAUUGUGUGGAAAGUGCGUUGCCAGGGGUUACGGAUGCUCUGCACGCACUGUCAUUCUUUCUUUCUCUGUAAUUUGUGGAUACAUUUAUCCUUAUUUAUCAUAUGUUAUUAAAGAACAAAUGUAAAUACAUUGUAAAAAAAAUAAAGACAUGUAUUACCCAGC